UGCCAGACUCCUACGGGAGGCAGCAGUGGGGAAUAUUGCACAAUGGGGGAAACCCUGAUGCAGCGACGCCGCGUGAGUGAAGAAGUCUUUCGGUAUGUAAAGCUCUAUCAGCAGGGAAGAAGAAGGACGGUACCUGAGUAAGAAGCCCCGGCUAACUACGUGCCAGCAGCCGCGGUAAUACGUAGGGGGCAAGCGUUAUCCGGAUUUACUGGGUGUAAAGGGAGCGUAGACGGCGAAGAAAGUCUGAAGUGAAAGCCCGCGGCUCAACCGCGGAAUGGCUUUGGAAACUUUUUUGCUGGAGUACCGGAGAGGUAAGCGGAAUUCCUAGUGUAGCGGUGAAAUGCGUAGAUAUUAGGAGGAACACCAGUGGCGAAGGCGGCUUACUGGACGGUAACUGACGUUGAGGCUCGAAAGCGUGGGGAGCAAACAGGAUUAGAUACCCCCGUACUG
rnacentral:rRNA from 1 species